rnacentral:rRNA from 1 species
UACGUAGGGCGCAAGCGUUGUCCGGAAUUAUUGGGCGUAAAGAGCUCGUAGGCGGCUUGUUGCGUCGGUUGUGAAAGCCCGGGGCUUAACCCCGGGUCUGCAGUCGAUACGGGCAGGCUAGAGUGCGGUAGGGGAGAUCGGAAUUCCUGGUGUAGCGGUGAAAUGCGCAGAUAUCAGGAGGAACACCGGUGGCGAAGGCGGAUCUCUGGGCCGUAACUGACGCUGAGGAGCGAAAGCAUGGGGAGCGAACAGG